UAAAGUACUUAAGAUACAACAUUUCCGUCAUAGCGCACUGCAUAUUUAGACUGUAACAUUAUCUGUAUUAAUUAAAACAGUGAUAGCGACACAUCUAAAAUAUCAGACGUCUUCAAGUCAAACUGGGAAAAUGGCUUCACAAAACAUCUCAACUAUUUGUUUCAUUUUAUUAGUUAUUUCAAAUAUCCAGGACCAGAAUCCAAACGGUAGACGCAUGAGAGAUCCUUAUGUACGACGUCUUGUCCAAACAGUUGAUGACGGAUUAACCCAGCAACCCAAUCUUGAGACCCUGGAAGAUCAAUAUCAGGGGGCUGGAAAUGUAAAUACCGACCUAGGGAACACAGAUUACCAACCUACAGGAAUGUUAAGAAAAAUAUUGAUAAGGGUCUAUUGUAGCAGUUGUAGGACCAAUCAUUGUAGACGGCGAUAUUGUGUGAAGUCAAAUAGGGUUGAACGUCCUACUGUGUGAGGUCAAACAUGUUGACCUGAUUUACUUGUCCACCAGCAGAACACUUAUCCACCACGCGUCCACCAACAGAACACUUGUCCACCAAAAGAACACAAGUCCACCAACGGAACACUUGUCCACCAGCAGAAACUUUUGAAGUCAGAUAACAAACAAUGUCUUGCAACUCGUGUUUGUAGAUUUACAAACUAAUUACCAACAUAAUCAUUAAUUACUUUAAUUUAUGUAACUGUAUACAUAUUAAAUUGCUUGUAUAUCAGUUGUCUUCUGAUUAAAAUCUGUUUUACGCCA